CCUACGGGAGGCAGCAGUGAGGAAUAUUGGUCAAUGGGCGCGAGCCUGAACCAGCCAAGUAGCGUGAAGGAUGACUGCCCUACGGGUUGUAAACUUCUUUUAUAAAGGAAUAAAGUGAGGCACGUGUGCCUUUUUGUAUGUACUUUAUGAAUAAGGAUCGGCUAACUCCGUGCCAGCAGCCGCGGUAAUACGGGGGAUCCGAGCGUUAUCCGGAUUUAUUGGGGUUAAUGGGAGCGUAGGCGGGCGGUUAAGUCAGCGGUCAAAUGUCGGGGCUCAACCCCGGCCUGCCGUGGAGACUGGCGGCCUCGAGUGGGAGAGAGGUAAGCGGAAUGCGUGGUGUAGCGGUGAAAUGCAUAGAUAUCAGGAGGAACUCCGAUUGCGAAGGCAGCAUACCGGAGCACGACUGACGCUGAGGCACGAAAGCGUGGGUAGCGAACAGGAUUAGAUACCCUAGUAGUC
rnacentral:rRNA from 1 species